rnacentral:rRNA from 1 species
UAGUAUAGCAAUUAUACCGUGAAACUGCGAAUGGCUCAUUAAAUCAGUUAUCGUUUAUUUGAUAGUACCUUACUACUUGGACAACCGUGGUAAUUCUAGAGCUAAUACAUGCUGAAAACCCCGACUUCGGGAGGGGUGUAUUUAUUAGAUAAAAAACCAAUGCCCUUCGGGGCUCCUUGGUGAUUCAUGAUAACUUCUCAGAUCGCAUUGGCCUUGCGCCGGCGACGGUUCAUUCAAAUUUCUGCCCUAUCAACUUUCGAUGGUAAGGUAUUGGCUUACCAUGGUUUCAACGGGUAACGGAGAAUUAGGGUUCGAUUCCGGAGAGGGAGCCUGAGAAACGGCUACCACAUCCAAGGAAGGCAGCAGGCGCGCAAAUUACCCAAUUCCGAUACGGAGAGGUAGUGACAAUAAAUACUGAUACAGGGCUCUUUUGGGUCUUGUAAUUGGAAUGAGUACAAUUUAAACCUCUUAACGAGGAACAAUUGGAGGGCAAGUCUGGUGCCAGCAGCCGCGGUAAUUCCAGCUCCAAUAGCGUAUAUUAAAGUUGUUGCAGUUAAAAAGCUCGUAGUUGAACCUUUGGCCUGGCUGGCAGGUCCGCCUCACCGCGUGCACUUGACCGGCCGGGCCUUUUCUUCUGGAGAACCGCAUGCCCUUCACUGGGUGUGUUGGGGACCAGGACUUUUACUUUGAAAAAAUUAGAGUGUUCAAAGCAGGCCUUUGCUCGAAUACGUUAGCAUGGAAUAAUAGAAUAGGACGUGCGGUCCUAUUUUGUUGGUUUCUAGGACCGCCGUAAUGAUUAAUAGGGACAGUCGGGGGCAUCAGUAUUCAAUUGUCAGAGGUGAAAUUCUUGGAUUUAUUGAAGACUAACUACUGCGAAAGCAUUUGCCAAGGAUGUUUUCAUUAAUCAGUGAACGAAAGUUAGGGGAUCGAAGACGAUCAGAUACCGUCGUAGUCUUAACCAUAAACUAUGCCGACUAGGGAUCGGGCGGUGUUUCUAUUGUGACCCGCUCGGCACCUUACGAGAAAUCAAAGUGUUUGGGUCUGG